CUCACAUUAGUGACUUGCUGGUAAAGCACAUAAACACAUACCUGAGAAUGCGCACAUCACUCUGUGUGGCCAGUAAUGAUAGGCAAGUAGUGUCUGGUCGGUUUCAGAGUUGGAACAAGACUUUUUUUUGCAAUAGGAUGUACAGGCUGUUUUUUGGGUUAGUUAAAGCUGGUAAUAGGUAGCAACAGGGCUUUAAACGAGUUGGAAAGCAGUAUCUAGGAAGGAAUUAGCAUCUCCCAUAGCAUCUCCCAUAG